GAUCAUGGCUCAGAACUAACGCUGGCGGCGUGCCUAACACAUGCAAGUCGUACGAGAAAGUCGGCUUCGGCCGAUAAGUAAAGUGGCGCACGGGUGAGUAACGCGUGGGUAAUCUGCCCCCCGGUCAGGAAUAACCCGCCGAAAGGCGGGCUAAUACCCGAUAACACUGGCGCUCUGCGGAGUGUCUUUCAAAGAAGGCCUCUGUUUACAAGCUUUCACCGGAGGAUGAGCCCGCGUACCAUUAGCUAGUUGGCAGGGUAAUGGCCUACCAAGGCAACGAUGGUUAGCUGGUCUGAGAGGAUGACCAGCCACACUGGAACUGAGACACGGUCCAGACUCCUACGGGAGGCAGCAGUGAGGAAUCUUGCGCAAUGGGGGAAACCCUGACGCAGCAACGCCGCGUGAGUGAGGAAGGCUUUCGGGUCGUAAAGCUCUGUCGGAUGGGAAGAAAUGGUUGGAGGUUAAUACCCUUCAUCCUUGACGGUACCAUCAGAGGAAGCACCGGCUAACUCCGUGCCAGCCGCGGC
rnacentral:rRNA from 1 species